rnacentral:rRNA from 1 species
UAGCGUAGGUCCGAGCGUGUCGAAUUGAUUGGCGUAAAGGGCUCGUAGGCGGUCUGUCACGUCGGGAGUGAAAACUCAGGGCUUAACCCUGAGCCUGCUUCCGAUACGGGCAGACUAGAGGUAUGCAGGGGAGAACGGAAUUCCUGGUGUAGCGGUGAAAAUGCGCAGAUAUCAGGAGGAACACCGGUGGCGAAGGCGGUUCUCUGGGCAUUACCUGACGCUGAGGAGCGAAAGCGUGGGGAGCAAACAGG